GAUGAACGCUGGCGGCGUGCCUAAUACAUGCCAGUCGAGCGAACGGACGAGAAGCUUGCUUCUCUGAUGUUAGCGGCGGACGGGUGAGUAACACGUGGAUAACCUACCUAUAAGACUGGGAUAACUUCGGGAAACCGGAGCUAAUACCGGAUAAUAUUUUGAACCGCAUGGUUCAAAAGUGAAAGACGGUCUUGCUGUCACUUAUAGAUGGAUCCGCGCUGCAUUAGCUAGUUGGUAAGGUAACGGCUUACCAAGGCAACGAUGCAUAGCCGACCUGAGAGGGUGAACGGCCACACUGGAACUGAGACACGGUCCAGACUCCUGCGGGAGGCAGCAGUAGGGAAUCUUCCGCAAUGGGCGAAAGCCUGACGGAGCAACGCCGCGUGAGUGAUGAAGGUCUUCGGAUCGUAAAACUCUGUUAUUAGGGAAGAACAUAUGUGUAAGUAACUGUGCACAUCUUGACGGUACCUAAUCAGAAAGCCACGGCUAACUACGUG
rnacentral:rRNA from 1 species